GACGAACGCUGGCGGCAUGCCUAAUACAUGCAAGUCGAGCGAACAGAUGAAGUGCUUGCACUUCUGACGUUAGCGGCGAACGGGUGAGUAACACGUAAGGAAUCUACCUAUAAGCGGGGGAUAACAUUCGGAAACGGGUGCUAAUACCGCAUAAUAUUUUCUUCCGCAUGGAAAAAAAUUGAAAGACGGCUCUGCUGUCACUUAUAGAUGACCUUGCGGUGCAUUAGUUAGUUGGUGGGGUAACGGCCUACCAAGACGAUGAUGAAUAGCCGACCUGAGAGGGUGAUCGGCCACAUUGGGACUGAGACACGGGCCAAACUCCUACGGGAGGCAGCAGUAGGGAAUCUUCCGGAAUGGGCGAAAGCUUGACGGAGCAAUGCCGCGUGAGUGAAGAAGGCCUUCGGGUCGUAAAACUCUGUUAUAAGAGAAGAACAAAUUGUAGAGUAACGGCUACAGUCUUGACGGUAUCUUAUCAGAAAGCCACGGCUAACUACGUGCCAGCCGCCGCCGUAA
rnacentral:rRNA from 1 species